rnacentral:rRNA from 1 species
AACGAACGCUGGCGGCAUGCCUAACACAUGCGAGUCGAACGAGACCUUCGGGUCUAGUGGCGCACGGGUGCGUAACGCGUGGGAACCUGCCCUUAGGUUCGGAAUAACUCCCCGAAAGGGGUGCUAAUACCGGAUAAUGUCUUCGGACCAAAGAUUUAUCGCCUUUGGAUGGGCCCGCGUUGGAUUAGCUAGUUGGUAGGGUAAAAGCCUACCAAGGCGACGAUCCAUAGCUGGUCUGAGAGGAUGAUCAGCCACACUGGGACUGAGACACGGCCCAGACUCCUACGGGAGGCAGCAGUGGGGAAUAUUGGACAAUGGGCGAAAGCCUGAUCCAGCAAUGCCGCGUGAGUGAUGAAGGCCUUAGGGUUGUAAAGCUCUUUUACCCGGGAUGAUAAUGACAGUACCGGGAGAAUAAGCUCCGGCUAACUCUGUG